rnacentral:tRNA from 1 species
GGUAGUGUGGCUCAGUGGCAGAGUGCUUUCCAAGCAUGCAUGAAGACCUGGGUUACAUCCCCAUCGCUACCA